rnacentral:rRNA from 1 species
AUUGAACGCUGGCGGCAGGCCUAACACAUGCAAGUCGAGCGAGCGGCGGAUGGGUUAGUAAUGUCUGGGAAACUGCCUGAUGGAGGGGGAUAACUACUGGAAACGGUAGCUAAUACCGCAUACCCUCAGAUGUGCCCAGAUGGGAUUAGCUAGUAGGUGGGGUAACGGGUCACCUAGGCUACGAUCCCUAGCUGGUCUGAGAGGAUGACCAGCCACACUGGAACUGAGACACGGGCCAGACUCAUACGGGAGGCAGCAGUGGGGAAUAUUGCACAAUGGGCGAAAGCCUGAUGCAGCAAUGCCGGGUGUGUGAAGAAGGCCUUCGGGUUGUAAAGCACUUUCAGUGGGGAGGCGUUACCCGCAGAAGAGGCACCGGCGAACUCCGUGCCAGCAGCCGCGGUAAUUC